GCCAGGGGGGGGUGCUAUACAUGCAGUCGAGCGGACAGAUGGGAGCUUGCUCCCUGAUGUUAGCGGCGGACGGGUGAGUAACACGUGGGUAACCUGCCUGUAAGACUGGGAUAACUCCGGGAAACCGGGGCUAAUACCGGAUGGUUGUUUGAACCGCAUGGUUCAAACAUAAAAGGUGGCUUCGGCUACCACUUACAGAUGGACCCGCGGCGCAUUAGCUAGUUGGUGAGGUAACGGCUCACCAAGGCAACGAUGCGUAGCCGACCUGAGAGGGUGAUCGGCCACACUGGGACUGAGACACGGCCCAGACUCCUACGGGAGGCAGCAGUAGGGAAUCUUCCGCAAUGGACGAAAGUCUGACGGAGCAACGCCGCGUGAGUGAUGAAGGUUUUCGGAUCGUAAAGCUCUGUUGUUAGGGAAGAACAAGUACCGUUCGAAUAGGGCGGUACCUUGACGGUACCUAACCAGAAAGCCACGGCUAACUACGUGCCAGCAGCCGCGGUAAUACGUAGGUGGCAAGCGUUGUCCGGAAUUAUUGGGCGUAAAGGGCUCGCAGGCGGUUUCUUAAGUCUGAUGUGAAAGCCCCCGGCUCAACCGGGGAGGGUCAUUGGAAACUGGGGAACUUGAGUGCAGAAGAGGAGAGUGGAAUUCCACGUGUAGCGGUGAAAUGCGUAGAGAUGUGGAGGAACACCAGUGGCGAAGGCGACUCUCUGGUCUGUAACUGACGCUGAGGAGCGAAAGCGUGGGGAGCGAACAGGAUUAGAUACCCUGGUAGUCCACGCCGUAAACGAUGAGUGCUAAGUGUUAGGGGGUUUCCGCCCCUUAGUGCUGCAGCUAACGCAUUAAGCACUCCGCCUGGGGAGUACGGUCGCAAGACUGAAACUCAAAGGAAUUGACGGGGGCCCGCACAAGCGGUGGAGCAUGUGGUUUAAUUCGAAGCAACGCGAAGAACCUUACCAGGUCUUGACAUCCUCUGACAUCCUAGAGAUAGGACGUCCCCUUCGGGGGCAGAGUGACAGUGUGCAUGGUGUCGUCAGCUCGUGUCGUGAGAUGUGGGUUAAGUCCGCAACGAGCGCAACCCUUGAUCUAGUUGCAGCAUCAGUGGGCACUCUAAGUGACUGCGGUGACAAACCGGAGAAAGGGUGGGGAUGACGUCAAUCAUCAUGCCGUUAUGACCUGGCCUACACACCGGUGCUACAUUGAUGAACCAAGGGACGAAAACCGGGGUAGCCAUUCCCCAAUUUGUUUCCAAUUCGGAAUACGA
rnacentral:rRNA from 1 species